CUAAAGCAUAUCAAUAAGCGGAGGAAAAGAAACCAACAGGGAUUGCCCUAGUAACGGCGAGUGAAGCGGCAACAGCUCAAAUUUGAAAUCUGGCUCUUUCAGAGUCCGAGUUGUAAUUUGCAGAGGGCGCUUUGGCUUUGGCAGCGGUCCAAGUUCCUUGGAACAGGACGUCACAGAGGGUGAGAAUCCCGUACGUGGUCGCUAGCUAUUGCCGUGUAAAGCCCCUUCGACGAGUCGAGUUGUUUGGGAAUGCAGCUCUAAAUGGGAGGUAAAUUUCUUCUAAAGCUAAAUAUUGGCCAGAGACCGAUAGCGCACAAGUAGAGUGAUCGAAAGAUGAAAAGCACUUUGGAAAGAGAGUCAAACAGCACGUGAAAUUGUUGAAAGGGAAGCGCUUGCAGCCAGACUUGCUUGCAGUUGCUCAUCCGGGCUUUUGCCCGGUGCACUCUUCUGCAGGCAGGCCAGCAUCAGUUUGGGCGGUGGGAUAAAGGUCUCUGUCAUGUACCUCUCUUCGGGGAGGCCUUAUAGGGGAGGCGACAUACCACCAGCCUAGACUGAGGUCCGCGCAUCUGCUAGGAUGCUGGCGUAAUGGCUGUAAGCGGCCCGUCUUGAAACACGGACCAAGGAGUCUAACAUCUAUGCGAGUGUUUGGGUGUCAAGCCCGAGCGCGUAAUGAAAGUGAACGGAGGUGGGAACCCGCAAGGGUGCACCAUCGACCGAUCCUGAAGUUUACGGAAGGAUUUGAGUAAGAGCAUGGCUGUUGGGACCCGAAAGAUGGUGAACUAUGCUUGAAUAGGGUGAAGCCAGAGGAAACUCUGGUGGAGGCUCGCAGCGGUUCUGACGUGCAAAUCGAUCGUCAAAUUUGGGCAUAGGGGCGAAAGACUAAUCGAACUAUCUAGUAGCUGGGUUCCUGCCGAGUCCCCCUUCAGGA
rnacentral:rRNA from 1 species